GAUGAAGAACGUAGCGAAAUGCGAUAAGUAAUGUGAAUUGCAGAAUUUAGUGAAUCAUCGAAUCUUUGAACGCACAUUGCGCCCGCCAGUAUUCUGGCGGGCAUGCCUGUUCGAGCGUCAUUACAACCCUCAGGCCCCCGGGCCUGGCGUUGGGGAUCGGCGGAAGCCCCCUGUGGGCACACGCCGUCCCUCAAAUACAGUGGCGGUCCCGCCGCAGCUUCCAUUGCGUAGUAGCUAACACCUCGCAACUGGAGAGCGGCGCGGCCAUGCCGUAAAACACCCAACUUCUGAAUGUUGACCUCGAAUCAGGUAGGAAUACCCGCUGAACUUAAGCAUAUCAAUAAGCGGAGGA
rnacentral:misc_RNA from 1 species